rnacentral:sRNA from 1 species
ACGUAGCGAUUGGUUUUGCCUUGAAAAA